GAUGAACGCUGGCGGCGUGCUUAACACAUGCAAGUCGAACGAGAAGUGAAGACGGAAACCUUCGGGCGGAAGGCUUUAUUUCGAGUGGCGGACGGGUGAGUAACGCGUGGGUAACCUGCCUCAUACAGGGGGAUAACAGUCGGAAACGACUGUUAAUACCGCAUAAGACCACAGCACCGCAUGGUGCGGGGGUAAAAACUCCGGUGGUAUGAGAUGGACCCGCGUUCGAUUAGCCAGUUGGCGGGGUAACGGCCCACCAAAGCGACGAUCGAUAGCCGAUCUGAGAGGAUGACCGGCCACAUUGGGACUGAGACACGGCCCAAACUCCUACGGGAGGCAGCAGUGGGGAAUAUUGCACAAUGGGGGAAACCCUGAUGCAGCGACGCCGCGUGAGUGAAGAAGUAUUUCGGUAUGUAAAGCUCUAUCAGCAGGGAAGAAAAUGACGGUACCUGAGUAAGAAGCCCCGGCUAACUACGUG
rnacentral:rRNA from 1 species